GUGCUCACUUCGGCAGCACAUAUACAAAAAUUGGAAUGAUAUAGAGAAGAUUAGAAUGCCCCCGCUCAAGGAUAACUUGCAAAUUCAUAAAACAUUCUAGAUUUUU
ensembl:snRNA U6 U6 spliceosomal RNA